rnacentral:rRNA from 1 species
AGAGUUUGAUCAUGGCUCAGAACGAACGCUGGCGGCAGGCUUAACACAUGCAAGUCGAGCGCUCAGCAAUGAGAGCGGCGCACGGGUGAGUAACACGUGGGAACGUGCCCUUUGGUUCGGAAUAACUCAGGGAAACUUGAGCUAAUACCGGAUAAGCCCUUACGGGGAAAGAUUUAUCGCCAUUGGAGCGGCCCGCGUCCGAUUAGCUAGUUGGUGAGGUAAAGGCUCACCAAGGCAACGAUCGGUAGCUGGUCUGAGAGGACGACCAGCCACACUGGGACUGAGACACGGCCCAGACUCCUACGGGAGGCAGCAGUGGGGAAUCUUGGACAAUGGGGGAAACCCUGAUCCAGCCAUGCCGCGUGAGUGAUGAAGGCCCUAGGGUUGUAAAACUCUUUCGGCGGGGACGAUAAUGACGGUACCCGCAGAAGAAGCUCCGGCUAACUUCGUGCCAGCAGCCGCGGUAAUACGAAGGGGGCUAGCGUUGUACGGAAUUACUGGGCGUAAAGCGCGCGCAGGCGGUUCUUCAAGUCAGAGGUGAAAGCCCAGAGCUCAACUCUGGAAUGGCCUUUGAGACUAGAGAACUUGGGUACGGGAGAGGUGAGUGGAAUUCCGAGUGUAGAGGUGAAAUUCGUAGAUAUUCGGAAGAACACCAGUGGCGAAGGCGGCUCACUGGCCCGUUACCGACGCUCAGGCGCGACAGCGUGGGGAGCAAACAGGAUUAGAUACCCUAGUAGUCC